UCUCUCUCUCUCUCUCUCUCUAAGACCAUCUCUCUCUUUUCUUCUUCAUUUUCCUCAACCACCCCAGAGCCCUUCUAUCUCUCUUAUUCUCCAUGACCGGCAACAUCAGGACCAAAACAUAUGGUGAAAAUUUUGGAAUCUCUUCCAGCAUUCUUGUGAGACUCUAAUUGGUCUGGAUAUGAAGCUACUAAACGCAUGAGACACAGAAAUCAUCUUAAUUGGUAAAACCAUUUUUAUGGUUUGCAUUGUGUUGACAUAAAGGGGUAUCGAAGACUGCUACUUUUGCUUAACGUUGUUGAAUUUUGCAUACAAGUUCCGUGAAGGAUGAAGAGUGCGAAAGUUGAUUAACAAUUGAGAUGACUGCUUUUUCGCUUUUCUCCUAUACUGUCAUGAUCAAGACGCAAGAUCAGAUCUUUCCAACCACGAACAGUGUGCAUUUGACAGUCUGAAUUUCUUUUUUUUUUGAAAAAAAUCUUGCCCCGGUGAUGAUUAGUAAUCAUCCAAAAUUAUACAUGUAUAAAUAUAUUUAUGGGAAC